AUCCCCAUCGCCCGCAAGCGGCAGGCAAGGUGGGCGCUCCCCAUCCCCGGGCCAGGCAGUGCCGCUUCCCCCAAGAACCAUCCCAGCGUCCCGGAGGACUGGUCCCUGCCGCCCCCACCCUCCUACCUGUCAGGAAGGAGGAAGCCAGAGACAUGGGAACCCCGGAGCAAUUGAGCAGCAGCAAGACGCAGCAGGUCCAAUGCCGAAUCUGUGCCCAUCCCAGCCACCUGCUGCUUCUGGCCCCAUUCACGGGUGUUAGGCAAGGAGUUCUCAGUCAGCGCCUAUGAGAGAAUCAACCUGGAAAUGGAACUGAUAAUAAUAAGACAACCCCAGAGAUGAAAGGGGAACCAGAGUUCAGAGCUACAACAUGUGUGGUUGAGACAGGAAUCCCAUUUAAUACCACCCUGCACACCCUUCUCCAGUGGGGGACUGUCCUUGACAUUGCUUUGUUUGUCUGGCUUAUGCUAGCCCAUCAUUAAUUCACUUCCAAAGUGUGAUAUCAAUGGUCUUGGCAUAAAAACAUCUCUUAAAUAAUAAAGGCUUUGG